ACCAGGCGUCGAGCGGCGGACGGGUGAGUAAUACUUAGGAAUCUACCUAGUAGUGGGGGAUAGCACGGGGAAACUCGUAUUAAUACCGCAUACGACCUACGGGAGAAAGGGGGCAGUUUACUGCUCUCGCUAUUAGAUGAGCCUAAGUCGGAUUAGCUAGAUGGUGGGGUAAAGGCCUACCAUGGCGACGAUCUGUAGCUGGUCUGAGAGGAUGAUCAGCCACACCGGGACUGAGACACGGCCCGGACUCCUACGGGAGGCAGCAGUGGGGAAUAUUGGACAAUGGGGGAAACCCUGAUCCAGCCAUGCCGCGUGUGUGAAGAAGGCCUUUUGGUUGUAAAGCACUUUAAGCAGUGAAGAAGACUCUUCGGUUAAUACCCGGAGACGAUGACAUUAGCUGCAGAAUAAGCACCGGCUAACUCUGUGCCAGCAGCCGCGGUAAUACAGAGGGUGCAAGCGUUAAUCGGAAUUACUGGGCGUAAAGCGAGCGUAGGUGGCUUGAUAAGUCAAAUGUGAAAUCCCCGGGCUUAACCUGGGAACUGCAUCUGAAACUG
rnacentral:rRNA from 1 species